UCAUCUUCUGGAGGAGACAAAAACACACAGCUCCUCCUUCUUCCUGGACUGAACAGAAGCCUUAAAAUGACCUUUAGCUGCUGGACCACCUCCAACGCCACUGGACACUCCCUCGCCACUAACAAUACUAACCACUAUUCCCUCACCUCCAUUAAUCUCCGUGUGAGCUCUCACUCUAGACCCCAAGCACAACAGCGACCCCCACCAACUUCUUCUUAUUCAAACACUAGCCAGAACAGACCACUCCUUUAGUCGUGGCUUCUUCCUCUUCUAGCCUUGAACACCUAUGAACGGAUCCCCACUGUUACCCUCACACAAAAGACCCCCUGCUUCUUCAACAUUAGGACACAAGGAAGAGAACGACCUCCUCUCUCCAAUUUUCGGCCAGCGUACCUUCCCAUUUCUCGUUUCCAUAGACAGAGAUCGAGAGGAAGUUCUGGACAGAAUCUUAGCAAAUUUCUCGGUUGAUUUGUUUGAUUUCGAUUUGAGUUUCGAAGUGAUGGAAUUCAAAUGAGUGAAGGUGUCGAAUUCGUGGGUGCUCGUUGAAUGCCGUCGGGUUUUGAAGUGUUUGUUUUGGUGCUCAUUUGGUGGAAUACGCUUCUGUUCAUUGAGCUUUAGUUGCCGCCUUCAAGUGUAUUAUUUUACCAACAUCGAAUUGAUUGAAACUCCCUCUUCCAGAUCCAGGUAUCUCAGGGCACGGUAGCGGUUGUUGACUAUUCCGGUCGCGGAAUUCAUGGAGACAGCGAGGUAGCUGCCCGUCGAUUCGCAGUUCCGUUUUUCUCCAUCCCUAUCUUCCUAUUAGUAUAUUGUUGCUAUUUUCAGACUAUUUGGUCUUGUCAUGUUUCAAAGCUAUUGUAGCAUGGCUCAUGACUUAGUGACACCCGAGGUCGAGCUUGUAUUUUUCCGCUUUGUGUGAUUUUGACUUCAUAACUUUUAUCGGAUUUCAGUUGAAAAAUGGUUUUUCUUAAGUUCUAAAUGAAAUGUGGAUUAAAUUGGGAA